rnacentral:rRNA from 1 species
GACGAACGCUGGCGGCGUGCCUAAUACAUGCAAGUCGAACGCAGUGGGGACGGGUGAGUAACACGUGGGUAACCUCCCAUCAGAGGGGAUAACACUUGGAAACAGGUGCUAAACCGAUACUGAUGGAUGGACCCGCGGUGCAUUAGCUAGUUGGUGAGGUAACGGCGCACCAAGGCAACGAUGCAUAGCGGACGUGAGAGAGUGAUCGGCACAAUUGGAACUGGAACACGGCCCAGACUCCUACGGGAGGCAACAGGAGGGAACCUUCGGAAAUGGAGGAAAUUCUGACCAGUAAAGGCGGCGUGAGUGAAAAAGGUUUUCGGAUCGAAAAACUCUUUUGUCAGAGCAACGGUAUCGAACCAGAAAGCCACGGCUAACUACGUGCCAGCCGCCGCGGUAAUUC